UAAACCUCGAUAUGUGACCUUCAUCUCUAAUAUGAGACAAGGCCGUUAUGUCCAAAAGCUUAACCCCUGUGCCUUUCACCGCAUGACCCGCGCUGUAAUCGCUAGACUCCUCUUGCAAAACCUCUUUCCCGAUAGACAUUGGCGUCGUGUUAUUACAGCUCCCUCCCGUGUUCCACUCCCCUCAUUCCCUAUAGACAUUGGCGUUGUGUUAUUACAGCUCCCUCCAGUGUUCCAUUCCCCUCCAACGAAAUGUCUUGGGGAAAGGCUUCUGUAGAACGCCUUGAGACCAGGAUGGUGAGGAAGCUGAGAGCUAACCCAACUAACCGUGCUGUGGAUUGUGAAG
rnacentral:lncRNA from 1 species